rnacentral:rRNA from 1 species
CGCGUCUUAGCAUGCAGUCGGACGGCAAGGGGGAGCGAUCCCCCCUAGAGUGGCGGACUGGUGAGUAACGCGUGGGUGACCUACCCAGAGGUUGGGGAUAGCCGCUAGAAAUAGCGGAUAAUACCGGAUACGGUUACGGGGUUAUGACCUUGUAAAGAAAGGGGCUUUGGCCCCGCCUCUGGAUGGGCCCGCGUUCCAUUAGCUUGUUGGCGGGGUAAGAGCCCACCAAGGCGAUGAUGGAUAGCCGGCCUGAGAGGGUGAACGGCCACAUUGGGACUGAGAUACGGCCCAAACUCCUACGGGAGGCAGCAGCUAAGAAUAUUCCGCAAUGGGGGAAACCCUGACGGAGCGACGCCGCGUGGAUGACGAAGGCCGGAAGGUUGUAAAAUCCUUUUGCGGAUGAAGAAUAAGCUUGGGAGGGAAUGCCUGAGUGAUGACGUUAGUCCGUGAAUAAGCCCCGGCUAAUUACGUGCCAGCAGCCGCGGUAACACGUAAGGGGCGAGCGUUGUUCGGAAUUAUUGGGCGUAAAGGGCGCGUAGGCGGCCGCGCAAGUCUGACGUGAAAUGGCGGAGCUCAACUUCGUCACGGCGUUGGAAACUGCGCGGCUUGAGUCAUGGAGGGGCAGCUGGAAUUCCUGGUGUAGGGGUGAAAUCUGUAGAUAUCAGGAAGAACACCGGUGGCGAAGGCGAGCUGCUAGCCGAUGACUGACGCUGAGGCGCGAAAGUGCGGGGAGCAAACAGGAUUAGAUACCCUGGUAGUCCGCACUAUAAACGAUGCACACUAUGUGUUGGGCCGAGCGGUUCAGUGCCGAAGCGAACGUGAUAAGUGUGCCGCCUGGGGAGUAUGCCCGCAAGGGUGAAACUCAAAGGAAUUGACGGGGGCCCGCACAAGCGGUGGAGCAUGUGGUUUAAUUCGAUGAUACGCGAGGAACCUUACCUGGGUUUGACAUGGUGGCGAUGCGCUAGAGAUAGCGUAGUCCCGCAAGGGACGCCAUCACAGUGCUGCAUGGCUGUCGUCA